rnacentral:misc_RNA from 1 species
UGGAAUUGCAGCUUGGCUCUUCAGUGACUGGAUUGAUUGAUGGGAAAUUUGAUGAUGGAUAUCUGGUUACUGUGAACUUGGGCUUUGAUCAACUUAAAGGUGUCUUGUAUCAUAUUCCUAAUGAACUUCACACGUCUCAGAGUUCUCAUACUUCAGAUUUACCUCCUCACCGGCACCAAAAAAGAUCUCGGUUAUUGGUACGCGAUCACUCUCAGCCCAAGUCUAAUGAGAGUGGUUACAAUUUCUUCUUUGCUGAACAUUAUACUCAACUCAAGCCUCUAUACCAUGGAGAAGAGAGAGUUAUUAGCAAGAAGAUUGGGCUGCUAUGGAACAGCCUCACAGAGGCAGAAAAGCAGGUAUAUCAGGAGAAGGGUAUGAAGGACAAGGAGAGAUACAGG